rnacentral:rRNA from 1 species
AUUGAACGCUGGCGGCAGGCCUAACACAUGCAAGUCGAACGAGUGGCGGACGGGUGAGUAAUGUCUGGGAAACUGCCUGAUGGAGGGGGAUAACUACUGGAAACGGUAGCUAAUACCGCAUACCAUCAGAUGUGCCCAGAUGGGAUUAGCUUGUUGGUGGGGUAACGGCUCACAAAGGCGACGAUCCCUAGCUGGUCUGAGAGGAUGACCAGCCACACGGGAACUGAGAAACGGUCAAGACGCCUACGGGAGGCAGCAGUGGGGAAUAGUGCACAAUGGGUGAAAGCCUGAUGCAGCCAUGCCGCGUGUAUGAAGAAGGCCUUCGGGUUGUAAAGUACUGUCAGCGGGGAGGCGUUACCCGCAGAAGAAGCACCGGCUAACUCCGUGCCAGCAUCCGCGGUAAUAC